rfam:Orchesella cincta Ocin01_Sc0417, whole genome shotgun sequence.
AUGGGUUGGGGAGAAUAUCCACCAGAGUACAACGCAAGGGUUCACGGCCCUUAUGAUCCGGCUCGGUAUUAUGGAAAGCGUAAGUUCUAAUA